AGGUGUAUCAUGUGGGGACGGACACUGUAUUACUGGUCUUAGUUUGUACUAUAAAUGUGAAAACAACACGUGCAGGAAUACACGUGGUUGUGAUGGGGCGGCUGAUGGUACCAUUUGCGACUAUUUGCAUGACUACCAAUGUUCAGGUGGUGUUUGUCGCGUGCCUUGUACUGACACCAACGUUUGUAAAGGUUACCCAUGUGUAGGUGGAUAUUGUGCAGAGCCUGAAUGUGGCGGACUAUAUUGUGUGC